AAAUUGAAGAGUUUGAUCAUGGCUCAGAUUGAACGCUGGCGGCAGGCCUAACACAUGCAAGUCGAACGGUAACAGGAAGCAGCUUGCUGCUUUGCUGACGAGUGGCGGACGGGUGAGUAAUGUCUGGGAAACUGCCUGAUGGAGGGGGAUAACUACUGGAAACGGUAGCUAAUACCGCAUAACGUCGCAAGACCAAAGAGGGGGACCUUCGGGCCUCUUGCCAUCGGAUGUGCCCAGAUGGGAUUAGCUAGUAGGUGGGGUAACGGCUCACCUAGGCGACGAUCCCUAGCUGGUCUGAGAGGAUGACCAGCCACACUGGAACUGAGACACGGUCCAGACUCCUACGGGAGGCAGCAGUGGGGAAUAUUGCACAAUGGGCGCAAGCCUGAUGCAGCCAUGCCGCGUGUAUGAAGAAGGCCUUCGGGUUGUAAAGUACUUUCAGCGGGGAGGAAGGGAGUAAAGUUAAUACCUUUGCUCAUUGACGUUACCCGCAGAAGAAGCACCGGCUAACUCCGUGCCAGCAGCCGCGGUAAUACGGAGGGUGCAAGCGUUAAUCGGAAUUACUGGGCGUAAAGCGCACGCAGGCGGUUUGUUAAGUCAGAUGUGAAAUCCCCGGGCUCAACCUGGGAACUGCAUCUGAUACUGGCAAGCUUGAGUCUCGUAGAGGGGGGUAGAAUUCCAGGUGUAGCGGUGAAAUGCGUAGAGAUCUGGAGGAAUACCGGUGGCGAAGGCGGCCCCCUGGACGAAGACUGACGCUCAGGUGCGAAAGCGUGGGGAGCAAACAGGAUUAGAUACCCUGGUAGUCCACGCCGUAAACGAUGUCGACUUGGAGGUUGUGCCCUUGAGGCGUGGCUUCCGGAGCUAACGCGUUAAGUCGACCGCCUGGGGAGUAUGGCCGCAAGGUUAAAACUCAAAUGAAUUGACGGGGGCCCGCACAAGCGGUGGAGCAUGUGGUUUAAUUCGAUGCAACGCGAAGAACCUUACCUGGUCUUGACAUCCACGGAAGUUUUCAGAGAUGAGAAUGUGCCUUCGGGAACCGUGAGACAGGUGCUGCAUGGCUGUCGUCAGCUCGUGUUGUGAAAUGUUGGGUUAAGUCCCGCAACGAGCGCAACCCUUAUCCUUUGUUGCCAGCGGUCCGGCCGGGAACUCAAAGGAGACUGCCAGUGAUAAACUGGAGGAAGGUGGGGAUGACGUCAAGUCAUCAUGGCCCUUACGACCAGGGCUACACACGUGCUACAAUGGCGCAUACAAAGAGAAGCGACCUCGCGAGAGCAAGCGGACCUCAUAAAGUGCGUCGUAGUCCGGAUUGGAGUCUGCAACUCGACUCCAUGAAGUCGGAAUCGCUAGUAAUCGUGGAUCAGAAUGCCACGGUGAAUACGUUCCCGGGCCUUGUACACACCGCCCGUCACACCAUGGGAGUGGGUUGCAAAAGAAGUAGGUAGCUUAACCUUCGGGAGGGCGCUUACCACUUUGUGAUUCAUGACUGGGGUGAAGUCGUAACAAGGUAACCGUAGGGGAACCUGCGGUUGGAUCACCUCCUUA
rnacentral:rRNA from 1 species